CGUGCAGGAUGACGGCCCUAUGGGUUGUAAACUGCUUUUCUGUGUUGAUAAAGUGCGUGACGUGUCAUGCAUUGCAGGUACCACAUUACUAAGGACCGGCUACUUCCGUGCCAACACCGCGGUAAU
rnacentral:rRNA from 1 species